GAUGAACGCUAGCGGCAGGCUUAAUACAUGCAAGUCGUGGGGCAGCAUGAAUGUAGCAAUACAUUUGAUGGCGACCGGCAAACGGGUGCGGAACACGUACACAACCUUCCUAUAAGUGGGGAAUAGCCCAGAGAAAUUUGGAUUAAUACCCCGUAACAUAAUGAUGUGGCAUCACAUUAUUAUUAUAGCUACGGCGCUUAUUGAUGGGUGUGCGGCUGAUUAGAUAGUUGGCGGGGUAACGGCCCACCAAGUCUACGAUCAGUAGCUGAUGUGAGAGCAUGAUCAGCCACACGGGCACUGAGACACGGGCCCGACUCCUACGGGAGGCAGCAGUAAGGAAUAUUGGUCAAUGGACGCAAGUCUGAGCCAGCCAUGCCGCGUGAAGGAUUAAGGUCCUCUGGAUUGUAAACUUCUUUUAUCUGGGACGAAAAAAGGCGAUUCUUCGUCACUUGACGGUACCAGAUGAAUAAGCACCGGCUAACUCCGUGCCAGCCGCCGCAGUAAAAC
rnacentral:rRNA from 1 species